rnacentral:rRNA from 1 species
UACGGGGGGAGCAAGCGUUGUUCGGAUUUACUGGGCGUAAAGGGUGCGUAGGCGGCGCGGUAAGUCGGGUGUGAAAUCUCGGGGCUUAACUCCGAAACUGCAUUCGAUACUGCCGUGCUUGAGGACUGGAGAGGAGACUGGAAUUUACGGUGUAGCGGUGAAAUGCGUAGAUAUCGUAAGGAAGACCAGUGGCGAAGGCGGGUCUCUGGACAGUUCCUGACGCUGAGGCACGAAGGUCAGGGGAGCAAACGGG